UUCCCUUCUUCAGUUGACCAGAGUAGCGGGUUGCGUGCGGUACUCCCGUCAGUAAUUGGUCUUUCAGUUCGCGUGUAUCUAGUGAAUUAAUUGUGAAAAACAAACAAAAUCGGAACCAACUACAAGUGUUUAGUAACUAAUUAGUGAUGGGAACCGAAAAUCAGUUGUGGUUUAUUUUAGAAAAAUGAUCACAGUAGUGCGUGAUAACCUCAAACCCUAGUGAUGAAGAUGAUGUUAGUUUUGUGACCGACCCUCCGGUUUGUUGUGGAAGAAAUUUUUAACUACCUCACUCUCCAUUGUUUUUAACACAGCCUAAUAUCUAGAAAUCAAUUGAAUUUAGUUUCUAGUGAUAUUUUUGAAUGAAAUAAUCGUUUACCAAGUGAAUUGUCAACCACCGACGAUAGAAAUUGUGUUGUUGCCUUUAUUGGUGUUGGAUAUUCCUUUUGUGGAUCGUGGAUUCUUGGAAUACAGCCGUUUUGUUUUGAUCUACUUUAUCUUGAAGGAAGUGGCUAGAAGAGUAGUAUGGCGUCAUUGCCCAGGGAGAGGUGAGGGCGCGCACGCUUGAGAGGGGGGUGCGGGGAGUCAUGUGCUGUGGCGGGGGGUCGGGGGGCUUAAUAGGAGGGGGCCUCCUGCUCAUCACUGUCACAGCCCUUCUGUCGAUAACGCCUGCCCCCGUCCAGGCUGAACAAGUGGUGCUACUUGACACUGCCACUGAACAAACGCUUGAGUGGACGCGCUUCCCCUAUGGACCUCAGGCCAAAACACCAGGGUGGGUGGAAGAGAGCUACACGAACUUCGAGGAGAGCAUCAACUGGCGGAGUUACGUGGUGUGCGACGUGGCGUACAAUGACGUCAACAACUGGCUAUGGACGCCGUUCGUGGAGCGCGGCAUCGCCAACCGCAUCUACAUCGAGAUCAAGUUCACCAUCCGCGACUGCAGCUACUUCCCGGGCAAGGCGCUCUCCUGCAAGGAGACAUUCUCGCUGCUCUACUAUGAGUUCGACGCCGCCACCCGGGAGCCUCCUCCAUGGGAGCCCGAUAGCUAUAAGCUGAUCGGCCGUAUAGCAGCCGGAGAGGGCCGAUUCAACACCAACUCGAACGCUGCUAUCAACACAGAGGUGAAGUCGAUAGCUGUCACCAAGAAGGGCGUCUACUUCGCAUUCCGCGACCAGGGCGCCUGCAUUUCUCUAGUCGCUAUCAAGGUGUACUACAUCACGUGUCCGAAGGUGACAGUUAACCUGGCGAACUUCCCGACGACGCCGACGGGCCGCGAGGUGACGUUCAUCGAGCGAGCGACGGGGACCUGUGUGGAGAACGCAGAGGAGAUCGAGAAGCCAACCUACCUGUGCAAGGGAGACGGCAAGUGGUAUCUGCCCACCGGUGGCUGCAAGUGCAAGCCUGGCUACGAGGCUGAUAUGGAGAAGCAGACCUGCAAUGUUUGUCCGCCGGGCAAGUACAAGUGGGCGCUGGGCGACGACCACUGUCAAAUGUGUCCACCACACAGCAAGGCGCCCGACCAUGGCAUGAGUGAGUGCCGCUGCAACCAGGGCUACUACCGCGCCGCCAAGGACCCCAAGAGCAUGCCCUGCACAGAGCCUCCAUCAGGUCCGCAAAACCUGACAGUGAACUUCGUGGACCAGUCGACUGUGAUUCUGUCGUGGAGUGCACCCUCGUUCCUAGGCGGCCGCCAUGACACCAUCUACAGGGUCGACUGCGAUGUCUGCAGUCUGGGCGUGUCCUAUUCGCCCAAUACCCUUAAAUUCAACGAGACGAAGGUGACCAUCUCGGGGCUUAGUCCGGUGACGAGCUACAGGUUCCAGGUGUUCGCGGCGAACGGCGUCAGCGAGCUGACGGGCAAGCCGGACAAGUUCGCCGAACUGAGCGUGACGACCGAGGCGAGUGUGACGUCGGCCAGCGUCAACAACGUUCGCGUCACGUCGGUCAAGGCCACUGAGAUCUCGCUCGCCUGGGAUCCUCCCAUCACCACCGAUGACACCAUGGACAUUCCCGAUGUUGUCGAAACUUACGAGAUCCGGUGCUUCACGCGACUGGAGGACUCGUCGAACGCGAGCAGUAAGCUGACCGUUGAGCAGAAAGCGACGUUCGGCGGACUGCGGCCGCGCACAGAGUAUGGCUUCCAGGUGCGCGCCAAGACCACGCACGGAUGGGGCGAGUUCAGCCCCACCACAUUCAAGACCACCGCUCAGCAGGCUCUCGGCACUGCAUAUAUUGGCGACGAGGAUAACAUGCAAGUUAGGAUAAUUGCCGGAGCCACAGUUGCUGUUGUAGUUCUUCUUGUCGUCAUCAUUAUCAUGACUGUCGUGUUUUUGCGCAGUAGAGGCAAUGAUGAGUGCAAUAAGAAGCAGCCUAGCGAUUGUGAUACUCUGGAAUACCGCAAUGGAGAAGUGCACUGCAAUUUGGAUAAUCCACCCAUAGUUACCACACAUACCAAUGGAAUGACGACUCCAUUAUUUACACAAGUGGGGGCGACGGCCAACUCACGCACGUACAUAGAUCCGCACACAUACGAGGAUCCCAAUCAGGCGGUCAGGGAGUUCGCCAGGGAAAUCGACGCCACCUAUAUCACCAUCGAAGCUAUUAUUGGCGGGGGUGAGUUUGGCGACGUGUGCCGCGGCAAGCUGAAGCUGGGUUCGUGUGCCGACGGCCGGAAGGAGAUCGACGUCGCCAUCAAGACGCUGAAGCCCGGCUCGGCCGACAAGGCGCGCAACGACUUCCUCACCGAGGCCUCCAUCAUGGGCCAGUUCGAGCACCCCAACGUCAUCUUCCUGCAGGGUGUCGUCACCAAGAGCAACCCUGUCAUGAUCAUCACCGAGUACAUGGAGAACGGAUCGCUCGACACCUUUCUCAGGGCGAACGAUGGCAAAUUCCAAGUGCUGCAACUGGUGGGUAUGCUGCGCGGCAUAGCCAGUGGCAUGCAGUAUCUGUCUGAGAUGAACUACGUGCACCGAGACCUGGCGGCACGCAACGUGCUCGUCAACGCGCAGCUCGUCUGCAAAAUCGCCGACUUCGGCCUCAGUCGGGAAAUAGAAAGCACUACAGAUGGUGCCUACACCACCAGGGGUGGCAAGAUUCCUGUCAGAUGGACGGCGCCCGAAGCGAUAGCGUUCAGAAAGUUCACAUCGGCGUCAGACGUUUGGUCUUUCGGCAUCGUCUGCUGGGAGGUGAUGAGUUAUGGUGAACGCCCCUACUGGAACUGGAGCAACCAGGACGUCAUCAAGUCCAUCGAAAAGGGAUACAGGUUACCGGCGCCCAUGGACUGUCCAGAAGCGAUCUAUCAGCUGAUGUUGGACAGCUGGCAGAAGGAGAGGACACAUCGGCCUAGCUUCGCCUCAAUUGUCAAAACUCUCGACAAACUGAUUCGGUGUCCGGACACGCUCAGGAAAAUCGCCCAGAACAGACGUCCACCACCUCUAAAUCCCUACUAUUACCCGGUGGCGUUUUCCGCUCCCAAUUGGGUAUCAUUUCAACAUGAAUGAAUCAAAGAAUGAAUUAUUCACCGUGGUGCUGGGACUCGAUGAAUGAAUGAAUUUACAAUGUACAUAUACGUAACCACCACAAUACAAAUAUAAAAGCUUGGCAAUGGUCUCACUUACACUAAAAGGAACGCGAACCCCCUGGCGCCUGACGCACCCGACAUGACGCAAUUCGUGUCGGUCUCCGAUUGGCUGAGCUCGAUCAAGAUGGCGCGCUACCUGGAGAACUUCGAGCGGGCCGGCAUCACGGGCAUGAAGGACGUGGUGCGGCUCAACGUGCAGGAGCUCACAAACCUCGGCAUCACGCUCGUCGGCCACCAGAAGAAGAUCAUGAACAGUGUGCAGGCGAUGCGGGCCCAGAUCUCCGCAAACCUCUCCGAAGGGUUCCUAGUUUAGUUUUAGAUCCACACCGAACACGUGAGUGAAAAUGCCAGUGCAGGUGGUGUUAGAACAUGUUGAACUUGGUGUAUAGAAAGUUUUGGUCAGGUUACAUGAUUGAGUUGUUGGAUCAUGUAGGCCUACAGGGAUGAGUGAAAAGGUUGGGUUGACUCCAUGACGGAAAACAAGGCAAUAAAACUGUUGUAGUGUCUGUGAAAGCAAGGUCAAGCUACGUGAUUGAGAAAUAUAUAAUGUUCAUGGAUCAUCGAUCAAUGAAUUGUACAUCAAUUUCUCCAUCAAGUUACGUGAUGGAGGAAUAUAUGAAAUUCGUGGAUCAUCGAAGAAUUAGGUUAGAAUGGGGUGAUCAUGGAUUCAGUCGAAUGGGUGAUGAGGUUAGUUUAAAUUCAUGACAAAAAUGAGCAAAUAUUGUUAUUGAGUUCAAAAUGCGAGUUCGAUAGUAUUUAAAGACAAUUGAAAUAAAACAAGUGAUCAAACAUGUUGAGAUUUCUUCUUCAGAUCGUUUGCAAGGUUGAUUAGCUUGCGAUGAGCCACAUCUAUAAUGAAUAGAAUGAUAUGUCUUUGACCUAUUCAUUUACAACUUUUUAAUCGAACAAAGCAUGAGAUUGCAUUAUUUUACAAUAAAUGACUGUUCAAUUAGAAUUGUCCAAUAGAGUUAUCUACAGAAAACUACCAAUUACCAUGCGCAAUGAGUUACAGUCAUUGUUUUGCACAAUAUUAGUGCAAAAACCUCAUAACUUUUGUGCCAAUAUCACAAUAACUCAGCAAUGGUACAAGUCCAACCUCAAAUUAGUCAAUGAAAGUUAAGAUUUUUUAUAAUAUACUGAUGUAAUCUUUUGUGUUUUUUCUCAUAAAUUCCAUGAUUUUAUCACUAAAACAGAGUUGAAAUUUAUAAAUGUAAGUUCAGUCUUCAUUUCCACAUCGGAGCUGUAGUUACUCAUUGAGAAGGCCAUUAAUUUUUACUAAAAUAAUCACUGUUCUACAAUGAUUGCAGUUUGGUGUUGAUGAUUUUUCCAGCAACUCGAUCACUGUUUUACAUCUAAACCUUUCUACAGAAUGAUAAUUUUCCAUCAACAUUCCAUUAGUCUAAGUUUUGUUGUUCCAGUGACUGGAAGCAGUGAGGUGACCUCACAUUUACUUCACCAACUGAAACAGUAACGCGUAAUCUAGAAAUGUGAAUGUUUAUAUUUUUCUAAAUGCUACCAUAACGAUACUAAUAGUAAUUAUUAUGAUAAUAUCGUAACAAUAAUCGAAUAAUGUUAUAUUAUUGUAAAAUAGCUUUUUCUAUUGAACAGUGAUACAAGCUAUGUGUAUAUUGAAUGCAGGUAUAUAUAGUUAUAGGUUUAAUUUCUUUUGCUGAACUUGUAACUGUAUUUUGUAUAUCAUGGACGCUGUAUUCGAAUUAUAUUUGUGCUUUGUGUGCAAUGUUGGAUGGGUUAUAUAAAUAGAAGUCCUGUAAAGUUGAGCAGAGGCGUUGCAUAUUGUAACUUGAUACUACAUGGGGAAAAUUAUCAUAAUAUCAAUUAUUUUUUAAACAUGUGGAAAACAAUCUCCUACAAGGAGAUGUUUGAAAAUGUCAGAAACUAUCCCCUUGCUUUUCAACCCAAAGUGUCACUUGUAAAACAUUUUCUUUAAUAUGAAGACAUCUAAUAGCUUGAUAUGCCACAGUAAAAUUGGAUAGAUAAUUUGAAAAAAUACCUAUAUUAUUAGAUCACUAUUUUCUUCUUUCAAAAUUCCAUGUGAAGCAUACCAACUACCCCCAAAUCAGUAUUGUUCUACUACCUAUCAGUUGUAUCUUGAUUUAUUAUAAAUCAGAGAUAAAAUCUUGAUCGACGUUUGUAGAACUGAUUGUAACAUUUUUCGUGUUAUUAUGUGUAAAUGUGCGCUGAGCUCAAUGAAGGACAUUAUGCUUAUUUCAGAGAAAUUUAGAUUCUUGUCAGGGAUAUUACUUUGGCAGCAGGAAAAAUUUUAAUAAUUUCACCCAUUAUCAAAUAACCCCAACAUGAAAAUAUAAGUUGGGUGACAUAUUUUUUAAUACCUGUGAUAAAGUGAAACAACAAAUUUUUUGUAAUGGAGUCUUGUUGUUUUUUAUUAUAUAAACUUAGAUUAAGAGUAUUUUGUAAAUAAAUAGUCUCCCUCCAUGAAUAACAUAGAUUAAUUACUAUUCGAGAAAUAUCUGUGUGUUUUUGAACGUUUGAAAUUUGAAGAAUGCUUCAGAAACUAUGCAAAACAUUUUCUGUGUGAUUCCAUUCAAGCUGUUCAAGCUUUCUUGAUAUUUUCUAAUCUAGGAAACUAUGUAAACACACUGAAAGCCAUUGAAUUGAAGUGAUAUAUUAUUAUACAAAUGAGAAAAGCAAUCACCAAGCAUUAUUUGUAAACAAUUGUUUACUGUGAUAAAGUUUUCUUUGUAUUUUCUCCCAAAAAUAUUGAUGAAUUUGAAAGUAAUUGGUCCAGUUUUGUCAUUCUCAAUAUUGUGCAAUUGAUUGACUCAUGUAAAUAUUGUAAUCUGAUAUGUAAAUUUUAAAUUAAUAGAAGAUAAACUGAUCAGAAUAUAAAACAAUUGUUUGCAAUUACGCAUGAUGUAGUUAUACUGAAUGUAUAAUGACAUUAUGUGAACGAUCUGAAUUCUAUUUUAAAAGUAAGACCGCAUCUUAUUACAUGAAAUUAAUAUUUGUGUGGAAUUUAAUAGUGCGUUAUCCAACUCAUUGCAAAUUCAAUUAAAUAUUUUAAGAGUUUUGUGAACAAGAUUGUUCAUCCUAUUCACUUGAAAUGAAGCAAUAAUUAUUAUUAAAAGUGUAAAAAGUAUAAUAAUAUUGAAAUACUGUGUUGAUAUUAAUUAAAAUCAGUUUCUGUAAUAUUAAACCUCAAUUUCAUAAUAUAUGUUCUGCAAAUUUGGAAUUGAAAUGAACGAUAUCAUGAAUUGAUAUCAAUUUCUUUGGAGAAUUACGAUUUGUGAUUGAAUAUUGUUUUAUAUCAUCAAUGCAGAAUACUUCGAAUUUCAGUUGUGCUCAUUCUGGAAACAGAGUUUGAAAAAUGGAAGUUGACAAAUACCGUUAUGAAAGCAUCUGAAUUUAGUAAUAGUAACUUAAUGGAAUUAUUAAUUUGUACUAUAUUUUGAAAUUUGUAUAUUUUGUAUAUUUCCUUAUAGGUAUAUUUGAUAAACAAGUUAUUAUUAGGAUGGAUUGGAAAUCAAGUAAAAAACUUAUAUGAGAAAGAGCUAUUGCAAUAAGCAUAAAUCUUCCAGUGGUCAAAGUUGUGUAAUUUUGCGAUAUGAUUCUGUACCAUCAUUCCUAUUUAUUGAAAACUGAGAAUUUAAUUGUAGAUUAUAAAAACCAUGAGUUGAACUAUGAAGGUCGAAUAAUACUCUAGUUGAAGUAUAAAAAUACUUUCUUAUGAUCUAAAUUUUUCAAAAUUAGAUUUUACUUCUUGAAGAAGUUUUAAUUCACUUUUCCUAUGUUCUUGUGAUUAAAUCACCUGAAAUUGGUCUUGUCUACUAGAGUUUGGUAUGAAUUCAAUGAUUUAAUUCAAUUUUUCAUACAUAUCGAAGUCUUUUUUGUUUAAUGAAAGCCUUCUAUUAGAAAUGUUAUUCAACUACUUUCAUUUGAUUCUAUUGUUUUUGAAUAGUUUAAUUAUAAAUAAUAUAUAUCAUGUUUUACAAUUGAAGAGACAGAGGAGACGUACAGUUUUAUUGGGUCAUAAAAGUACAUUUUUGAAAAGUAGCCGAUACUUUAUGAUUAUCUGCAAAUAAAUUUGUAAUACUGUAUCAGUUAAAUAUGUAUUAUAAAUCUUGAAUUUUUUCAGUUCUACUUAUUCUGUUUUAAGAUUUUGCAAUCACUUUUUUGUCUUCAUAGAAAUUUCAUAUGCGUGGCAUUUUUGAUAGCCUGUUUAAAAACGCUGUCAGAAUAACUUUCGACAUCAAUGUCUAUAAACUCUUUAAAAAAUAUUAUUAGAUUGGUGUAUUUGCUAUUGAUCUGUAUAACAUGAUCAAUACUAUACAUUUAAGCAUUUAAGGAAACAUUUGUGAAUUCAUUCAGAUUAUUUGAUAUAACUGGAUUCAAAUACCUGUAACGUAUUUCUCAUGUAACAGCCAUGUCGGAAAAUAUCACUGGUAAUAGUUCAGACUGAUUUGAUAAAAUAAUUCAUCAAACAAUAAAUUAUUUUUUACCAAUCAGCAUCCAAAUUCUUGAAUGCUGAAGGAAUGCUCUCACGAAGAUUGCUGCUCUAUCGAGUAAGCAUGCAUUAGUUGAGAAUAAAAAUAAUUGUUUUUUCUUGUAUGAACAAUAUUGUGAAUAACUGCCAUUUUAUUUAUUUUUAUUUUUAAAAUUAUCAUAAUUCUAGCUAAUCAAUUAUUGUAAUUAUUAUUGAUCUUGUAAAUGUUUUAAGAUGUAAAUUUAUAUAAUUCGCCCGUACGCUCUUUUGUUACAUUUACAUUUUCAAAUUUAGAUGAAUAAAGUACUGAAAUUAUUUCUUUCUAAUUA
rnacentral:misc_RNA from 1 species